AAGAUAAGAAAAAAACCCAACUCUCACUUAGUUACUAAGAGUGGCAGAUAGAGAAACACACUCAGAGAGUGAAGCUCUGUUCUUCUUAUCUUCCAGCUUUUGAAUCUACAUAAAUUAAAGACAUUAAUAAGGAGGCAACAGACAAAGACUUUUAAAAGAGUUUUGACAUUACAAAUCUACUUGGGCAUAAGGUUCAGGAAACAGAUGGCAGACAAUAAUAGUAGAGGUACAAGUCGAAGUCAAUUUCAAAGUCGUGCUAGAGGUUAUGUUCAAACAUCUUUUCCACAAAGCAUAUGUAAUACACCUGGCUUGGCAGCAUCACAUACAGAUGUUGAAUUAGUUCCAUCUAUUCCUCAAAAUUUGGGGGGCACGACUACUCUUACCAGCACACAGCCUCCUUCAAGAGAAUUAUUGUCAGAGCAGUGUGUGACUUCAUUGUUACCAAUUCUUGGAACUACAGAUUCCGCUGAUAAGAAGAUAUGGCUUGCCCCAGGAGCCAAACAUGAUUAUCUACCUUCAGGUGGUCCUUCAAAGGUUAUUUCCAAAAUAAUCGAGUCUAAGUUUGAUAGUCCAUGGCCUACUUGGACCAAGGUGCCACAAGAAGUGAGGAAUAUGUGGUUUGAAGAGUUUAAGAAAACAUACAAAUGGCUCUCUCAACAUAAUCUUAUCAUUAGAUCUAUUUUUGAGCAUAAAGGCUCUGUGAUUUUAAAGAACAUAAUGUCUAAGUUACGAAGGGGUAAAGAUAAGGGUCUUUGGAUCACUCCAGAUGUGAAGGAAGAGCUACACACUCAUUGGGUAAGAGAAGAGUUUCAGAAGAAAAGCACUAUUGCUAAACAAAAUAGAGCUGUUGAUGGUGGAGCAUCUUUGUACACCGGUGGCUCUGUAUCUGCUGCUGUGCAUCAUGAUAGAAUGAUAAUUAUUUAAAUUUUUUUUUAAUUAUUUCCUUCAUUGGAACUUUACACUUGUAUUAUUAUGCAGACUUAGCAACGUAAGCGAGUUCCCACAGCAUUUAAUAUAAUGGAAAAGACAAAAAGGAAUAAAGCUGGAAAAUGGGUCAAUGACAAAGCCAAAAAUAUUGCAGAUGAGUUUAUUCGACGUCGAACUGAAGCCCAUGCACAUGACAAUGAUGAUCAUGGUGAAGAAUGUGCCUCAGGUGACCAUUCUAUAGCUGCUGAUAAUGCCAAUUUUUUAGAAGUUGUUGAAGGAAAAAACAAGAAAGGUCAUGUGUAUGGGUUAGGACAAUUGGGUGAAGAGUUUGUGACAUCAUCCUCUCCUUGUACUCAGUCUGAUCCUAGUUCUAGCAUUAACUAUCAGCAGAUCAUUGCCAACCUUAAUGCAGAAUUAGCAGCAAAGGACACACGCAUUGAUACUAUGCAGUCUGAAUUUCAGAGGACUAAUUCAAAACUACAGAAAACUGAGAUCAUUCUCUAACAAGUUGUUAAACACUUGGGAAUUUCUACUAGUACCCAAAUAGAUGAUUCUCAUGUUGAUACUGAUGAUGUUGGUUCUCCUUAUGAUGGCAUUGAUCCACAUUCAUGAUUUAAGACUUUCUUUUUCUAUUUGUUAUGUUAAUGAUUGUACCUUUUUUAUAAAAUGAGCUACACUUUUGUUAUGGAGUGAAAUAUGUAUUGUUAUG